AGUAGUGGAGUUGAAUUGAGGUUGUAGAGUAUUGAUAUCGCUCCCCUGUCCCUAUCGUAGAUCCCGACUUGUGGUCUAGGGUGAAUUAAUAUGUUGUCAACUCCGCGUUUUCUCUCUCUUACUCAUCCUCACUUUCUCUCUGCUCUCAGACGAAGACGACGACGACUUCAUUCUUCUGGUCUUAUCGUGGCAAAGCUGCUAAUAAAUGGCCUGUGGGUAUCACCUUGUACUGUAUGAUAAUGGGAAAGUUUCCCUUUAUUGGAGAGAAACUACGAGAAAUCUAUGACAAGAUUGUUAAUGAUCCAAUUGAUCUCCCAGAAAAUAUUAAUCCGCAACUCAGGAAUGUAUUAGAGGGGCUCUUGUGCAAUGAGGAUGAAGAGUAAGAAGGAGGUGAUGGAAGAGAUCAUUCAGAGGAACUGACGUUGCUGUGGAAGUAGUUUAGUCCGGAUAUGUGAUAACAAGGUUCAGAACUGGUGACAAAAUUGUGGCUUUUCUUAGCUAUGUUGUCAUUGAGGUCCGAUCUCAUAAGACAAUUAAGUGAGCUUUCUGUGGAGAACCAAAAGUGUGACCAAUUUAAAUUGCAACUUACAGACUGGGGGUGCACUGGCUGAAUACGUCGUGGCAUAGGAGAAUCUGACAGUUACCAGACCACCAGAAGUUUCACCUGAAGCUGCAGCCCUAUCUGUUGCUGCCAUUACUACUACUCACCAAAUUCUCACCCUGUUUGCAAACAUCAAGCUUGAUGGAAGUGGUGAAAGAAAGAACAUAUUGAUCAUUGCUGCAUCAAGAGUGGGACACUAUGCAGUUCUACUGGCCAGGCUUGGAAACACACAUGUUACAGCUAAAUGUGGAGCUCGUAGCCUAGAAUUUGUAAAAUGCUUACAGUCCGAUGAGGUCCUCGACUUUAAAACUGCAGAAGGGGCACUUAAUUUCAAUUUGAGAACUUUUUGUUAGUAGGGCUACUAUUAAUUCUUCUUUGAUUCGUGGUUUAUGAGUUUAUAUGGUGUUAAAAUUGUUUGUAGUAUAAAUUUCUUUGGUAGGUUUGUUUUAAUGCUUCUUUUUUCUUUUUCUUUUAGGGUAUUUUCCCUUUGUUUAAUUUGGGAAUUCCUUAGUGGGUGACUUUAUUUAACACUAAAUUGUUAAAAUCAGGGGUUUUUCCUUUGU